rnacentral:misc_RNA from 1 species
GAUGAAGAACGCAGCGAAAUGCGAUAAGUAAUGUGAAUUGCAGAAUUCAGUGAAUCAUCGAAUCUUUGAACGCACAUUGCGCCCGCCAGUAUUCUGGCGGGCAUGCCUGUCUGAGCGUCAUUUCAACCCUCAUGCCCCUAGGGCGUGGUGUUGGGGAUCGGCCAAAGCCCGCGAGGGACGGCCGGCCCCUAAAUCUAGUGGCGGACCCAUCGUGGCCUCCUCUGCGAAGUAGUGAUAUUCCGCAUCGGAGAGCGAUGAGCCCCUGCCGUUAAACCCCCAACUUUCCAAGGUUGACCUCAGAUCAGGUAGGAAUACCCGCUGAACUUAAGCAUAUCAAUAAGCGGAGGA